rnacentral:rRNA from 1 species
AGAGUUUUGAUCCUGGCUCAGGAUUAACGCCUGGCGGCGUGCAUAACACAUGCAAGUCGAACGAUGAAACUUAAAUGAUCUCUUCGGAGUGAACUUAAGUGGAUUAGUGGCGGACGGGUGAGUAACGCGUGAGUAACCUGCCUUAGAGAAGGGGAUAGCCUUUGGAAACGAAGAAUAAUACCCUAUGACAUGAUAGCCUCGCAUGAGAUUAUCAUCAAAGAUUUAUCGCUCUAAGAUGGACUUGCGUCUGAUUAGUUAGUUGGUGGGGUAACGGCCCACCAAGACAGCGAUCAGUAGCCGGCUUGAGAGAGUGUACGGCCACAUUGGGACUGAGACACGGCCCAGACUCCUACGGGAGGCAGCAGUGGGGAAUUUUGCACAAUGGGGGAAACCCUGAUGCAGCGACGCCGCGUGAUUUAGAAGGCCUUCGGGUUGUAAAAAUCCUUUUCUACCUGGGAAGAACACUUGGACAGUACCAUAGGAAUAAGGUACCGGCUAACUUACGUG